CUGAGCCUCUCGGACUCGGGGAGGGCUCCGGGCAGCCGUGCCAACCAAGCAUGGGUUUUCCGAUGAGGCAGCUGAGUCCACGCAUCCACAGACUUAGUUUUCUAUGAUCUCCUGUUACGGGUUGAGUUUUGUCCCCCCCGAUUCAUGUGAAGUCCUAACUCCCAGCCCCUCAGAACGCAACCUUAUUUGGAGAUAGGGUCUUUGCAGAGGGCAAUGCAUCUACGGGCCAGCGAACAUCGAAGAUGCCAGCCAACCACCAUAAGCCGGGGGAGAAGCCAGGCCCUGAUUCUCCCCCACAGCCCUCAGGAGGAAAUAACCUUGCUGACGCCCUGAUCUUGGACUUCCAGACCUCACAGCUGGGAGACAAUACAUUUCUUCGUUGAAGCCACUCAGUUGGUGCUGCUUUGUUACGGCAACCCUAGCAAGCGAAUGAUCGUUUUACAAAUGAGCGAAACCAAGAUUAUGAAGUGACUUUCCCAAGGUUACCUGGGCACAGUGGACCUCUUGGGUGCUUAUUUUCUCUGCCGUUUUUAAAUGCGGAUAUCCACCUCUGUCCCCCACCUCCCCACCCCCAAUCCUGUGCCCUCGGCUCUCUGGGUGCUUAUCCAUCCAUACGUCUUUGAGGCAGACAAUGUUGUGAGCACAGGGGCCCGGCAGGAGAACAAACAAUAGACACAGGCCCCGCCUACCCCCCCCCCCAGCCCCCAAUGGGGAACA